rnacentral:lncRNA from 1 species
AUGAUAGCUAAACUCUUCCAGAUUUUCCAAAGGAUAGAUCUACUUAGCAUCAACACAAAUAAUCACUUGCAUUUUCAUAACUUUUUUCAUCUAGAAAUAUCUGCAAAGCAUAUAGUAAUUUACUAUUUUUUUCUCAUACCUGUGAAGGAAAUCGCUGUGAUUUUCUUGUUUUAUAGAUACAGAAGCCAAAUUAUGGAUUCUACAAAAAUUAGAUAUCUAGAAACAGACUCCUGGAUUCUUCACUCUGGUUCAUUCUUUAUGCUGAGCACCACUCCAGCUCUCCAGCUGCCUAACAGAAAACACAUUUUCCACUGCGGAUUUGAAUCAAAAUUUAAAAGCAUCGAAACAAACGUCUUUCAGAGGAGCUACCAAUACUCACAAGCGAUUCAGCAAAAACACUGCAAAAAUGUUUUCUGUUUCAGCUUGUUUAGUUUUUUACAGUGA